AAUGAUGUGCCUGAAAAAAGGGCUACUUUGAUAGAGUAAAUUAUACAAUUUGUCUUCAUUA
rnacentral:tRNA from 1 species